rnacentral:rRNA from 1 species
UACAUGGACGUAGCUGAUGCAGCGAUGUCGCGUGAGUGAUGAGGCCUUCGGGUUGUAAGCUCUGUCGGCAGGGACGAUGUGACAGUACCCGUAGAGGAAGCACCUGAUAACUCCGUGACAGCAGCCGCGGUACUACUACAUGCCAGCAUACGCGGUAAUA